AAAAAGCUCGUAGUCGAAUUUGUGUCUCGCGCCGUCCGGUUCAUCGUUCGCGGUGUCAACUGGCGUGUCGCGAGACGUAUUGCCGGCGGGUCGUUCGCAAGAGCGGCCCAAAUGACCCCGCCGCGGUGCUCUUCAUUGAGUGUCGAGGUGGGCCGGCACGUUUACUUUGAACAAACUAAGGUGCUUAAAGCAGGCUGAAUUUUGCCAGAAUAUUUUAUGCAUGGAAUAAUGAAACAGGACCUCGAUUCUAUUUUGUUGGUUUUCGGAACCUCGAGGUAAUGAUUAACAGGAACGGAUGGGGGCAUUCGUAUUGCGACGUUAGAGGUGAAAUUCUUGGAUCGUCGCAAGACGGACAGAAGCGAAAGCAUUUGCCAAAAACGUUUUCAUUGAUCAAGAACGAAAGUUAGAGGUUCGAAGGCGAUCAGAUACCGCCCUAGUUCUAACCAUAAACUAUGCCAGCUAGCGAUCCGCCGACGUUCCUCCGAUGACUCGGCGGGCAGCUUCCGGGAAACCAAAGCUUUUGGGUUCCGGGGGAAGUAUGGUUGCAAAGCUGAAACUUAAAGGAAUUGACGGAAGGGCACCACCAGGAGUGGAGCCUGCGGCUUAAUUUGACUCAACACGGGAAACCUCACCAGGCCCGGACACCGGAAGGAUUGACAGAUUGAGAGCUCUUUCUUGAUUCGGUGGGUGGUGGUGCAUGGCCGUUCUUAGUUGGUGGAGCGAUUUGUCUGGUUAAU
rnacentral:rRNA from 1 species